AGAGAUAAAGGAGGCAGUUAUUCUGGUGUUUGCUAAAAAACAGGAUCUUCCCACGCAAUGGGAGGUCAGUGAACUCACCGACAAACUGGUCUGCACAGCCUGCGCAGCAGAACUUGGCACGUCCAGGCCACCUGUGCCACUCAGGGUAACGGUCUGUACGAGGGUCUGGACUGGCUCUCCAGCGAGCUGUCGAAACGCUAGAUCACCUGACAGGAAGCAGCUGAAUGAUGUCAUCAAACUGACGAAGAGGAGGAGGAAGGGGAAGAAGGAGCAGGAGAAGAGGAAGAGGAGGAAGAAUAUGAAAGGACUGUUUUUUUUUUUUCUUUUUAAAUUAUAAAUAUGUCUGUCUGUCUGUAGGAGGAAGUGAUGUCAUGGACUCUGAGCUCACUUUUAUUUCCCAUCAUCCUCCUCUUCUUCCUUGUUUUUGUUUUAAUCCGCAUGUUUUAACUCCGAAUCAUGUGACAGGAUGUAAUGGAAGAGGAGGGGCGGGGUCAGCUACAGGUGACUGUACCUGUGGGGGGCGGGGUUUGGAAGGUGAGUUACCUGAACGUGUGAUGACCCAUUCCACAGAGCCGUACCUGAAGGCGUCGUCAUUCCUUAACAAUGUGAAGAAGAAGAGACGAUGAUGCAAUAAAGGUUUUUUUUUUCUUCUCA